UGGGGAAUUUUGGACAAUGGGCGCAAGCCUGAUCCAGCCAUGCCGCGUGCGGGAAGAAGGCCUUCGGGUUGUAAACCGCUUUGUCAGGGAAGAAAUCUUCUGAGUUAAUACCUCGGGAGGAUGACGGUACCUGAAGAAUAAGCACCGGCUAACUACGUGCCAGCAGCCGCGGUAAUACGUAGGGUGCAAGCGUUAAUCGGAAUUACUGGGCGUAAAGCGUGCGCAGGCGGUUUUGUAAGACAGAGGUGAAAUCCCCGGGCUCAACCUGGGAACUGCCUUUGUGACUGCAAGGCUUGAGUGCGGCAGAGGGGGAUGGAACUCCGCGUGUAGCAGUGAAAUGCGUAGAUAUGCGGAGGAACCACCCGAUGGCGAAGGCCAAUCCCCCUGGGCCUGCACUGACGCUCAUGCACGAAAGCGUGGGGAGCAAACAGGAUUAGAUACCCCUGGUAGUCCACGCCC
rnacentral:rRNA from 1 species